AAGAAAAAAAAAGUUUGCAUAGGACUACGGUGAGGGAUGGAAGAUUAGGAGUGUAGGUGGACAGAUGCUGAGGAGGCGAAGGUAAAAACAGAAGAUGAGGAGAUGAUAUAAAAGAGUAAGGAUGAUGGGACGCGUAAACAAGAGAUGCAAAGAAAGGUAAUGGGAGGGAUAGUGGGCAAGAAACAAGGGAUGGUACAGAGGGUAGAGGAAUGGGAGGACAGGACACAGAGGAGGAGAACCUGGAUACAGAGGAUAGAGAAACGUGAGGACAGGACACAGGAGGACGUGGAUAGAGGGUAGAGGAAUGGGAGGACAGAACACAGAGGAGGACAUGAAUAGGGUACGAAAGAGGAGGUGGCAAAAUAAACAAACGCCUGAGGAAAGAGAGGGAGUGGAGGAAUGGAAGGUCAGAAGAAGAGUGGUGCAGAGGGGAACUGAGUGGGAGAGGCUGAGAAGGUUAGUGGGGGGAGCGAAAUUAGGAGAUGAUGCAAUGAGAAAAUUAGGAAAAACGAAAAGAAAAUAUGGCAGAAGUGACCGAGGGAGAUAGUGAAGAGUGGGGUAAAAGGGAGAAGGGGUCAGUUGAAGGAAUGCAUUGAGGGAGAAUAAGGGAAAGAGAGGAGCUAAAAGGAAGGAACUAAUUGAGGCAGACAAAGUUAAGAGAAGGGUAAAAGGGAGAAGGGGUCAGAUGAAAGGAAUGCACUGAGGGGGGAAGGCAGACAGAGGAGCUAAAAGGAAGCGAUUAACCGAGGGAGAUAGUGAAGAGUGGGGUAAAAGGGAGAAGGGGUCAGUUGAAGGAAUGCAUUGAGGGAGGAAGGCAGAGAGAGGAGCUAAAAGGAAGGAGUUAACUGAGGGAUAUAAAGUUAAGAGAAGGGUAAGAGGGAGAAGAGAUAAGAUGAAGGAAUGCAUUGAGGGAAAGGCGAGAGGAAGGGCAAGGAAGAAGACAAAGAUGAAAGACUUGACCGAGAGAAGAAGACAGGGAUGAAAGACUUGACCGAGGGAGAGAAAGUUACGAAAAGGGUAAAAGGGAGUAGAGAUAAGAUGACAGAAAUGCAUAAGAGGAAAAGCAAAGACGAAGAUAAGGGUAAGCAAGAAGGGAAGGUGAAACUAGGCACUGAGGUAGGAGAAGGGAGAAGAGGUCAGAAGGAAUGCACUGAGUUAAAGACGAAAGGAAGAUAAGGGUAAGGAAGAAGGGAAAGGUGAAACUAUGUAGAAGAAGGAAUGCAAUAAAGGAAAGACGAAAGGAAGAUGAGGGUAAGGAAGAAGGAAAGAUAAAACAAGGCACUGAGUUAUGAGGUGAGGAUCAGAUACAUUAGGGCCGCAAACGAAACCCACAAACCCAUAAACCAAAGACUGUUUCCAAACCGUUUCCAUCAAGCACUUCUAACCCUUCAUACUUCUUGGGACUCGAACUUGCUUCACUUCCUUACUAAAACAGAGAAUUCCUAGGUUGGAUGUGGCCGCUAACCCGUAGACGAGGUUCCAAGAAAGCCCUAGAGAAUGUGGCCGGCUAAAAUUGCGGGAACUGGUGUCAAAGGGAACGGCCAAGGAAGGGAGAGUUUAAUAUUAAUAUGCACGUAAGAGGGAGUGGGGUAUUAAAGGUUGCAUUGUGGGAGGAGGUGAAGGGAGAAAGAGAAGGCGUGACAGAGGAGUGGGCGAGUGACGAAUUUUACGAUGAAUGUGAUGGAGUGGCAUUGAGAGAGAGAGAGAGAGAGAGAGAGAGACCCAUGAAUCAUUACUCUUCUUCCCUUCCAAGGGCGUCAAGAUAAAUAGGGAGAACGUGUCUCUCUCUCUCUCUCUCUCUCUCUCUCUCUCCGUGUCGGCUUGUUGGGAAAUUCCAUAAUCCCAAGGAUAGAGCCACAGGGAUGCCCACGUGGCUCGUGUCCUUGGCAAGCUACUGGACCUAACCUAACCUGCCGAAAUAAUGUGGUGUAAGACUUCAAAACAUAACUGGUAAAGGCCGCAAUAGGGGACACAAUCUGAUGGGACAGUACAUAAGAACAUAAGAACAUAAGAACGCAGGAGUCUGCAAGAGGCCGGUAGGCCUGUACGAGGCAGCUCCUUUGACCCUAAGCUCCCGUGUAUCUAACCCCACCUAAUAUCGCUGUCCAUGAAUUUAUCUAGUCUAUUUUUGAAUGUGACAAUUGUAUUGGCACUCACCACAUGACUGCUAAGCCUAUUCCACUCAUCCACCACCCUGUUAGUAAACCAAUUUUUGCCUAUGUCCCUGUUGAAUCUGAAUUUAUCCAGUUUAAACCCGUUACUUCGUGUCCUACCCGGUUCUCUUACCAACAAAACCUUAUGAAUGUCUCCCUUAUUAAAGCCCUUCAUCCAUUUAUAAACCUCGAUCAUGUCUCCACGCACCCUUCGCCUUUCUAGAGAAUGCAAGUUUAACUGUUUGAGUCUUCCCUCGUAUGGCAAGUUUCUCAACCCCUGAAUCAUCUUAGUCAUUCUCCUCUGCACCGAUUCUAACAUUUUGAUAUCCAUUCUAUAGUAAGGUGACCAGAACUGAACCGCAUAGUCAAGAUGAGGUCUAACUAAUGCUAAAUAUAGUUUGAGGAAGACUUCGGGGCUUCUGUUGCUUACGCUCCUUGAAAUAAAUCCCAGUACCCUAUUAGCUCGAUUUCUAGCUUGAAUGCAUUGUGCCCUUGGACGGAGAUCAGAGCUCACUAAGACCCCUAAAUCCCUCUCGCACCCAGACCUACUUAUGAGUGUCAUUUAAGCAAUAGUUAUGUGAAACCUAAACUAACCUAACCUACCGAAAUAUUGUGCAGUGUAAGACUUCAAAACAUAACUGGGAAAGGCCGCAAUAGGGGACACAAUCUGAUGGGACAGUACCUAAACUAACCUAACCAACCGAAAUAUUGUGCAGUGUAAGACUUCAAAACAUAACUGGGAAAGGCCGCAAUAGGGGACACACAAUCUGAUGGACAGCGCCUAAGCUAACCUAACCUACCGAAAUCUCGUCCAGUAAGAAUAGUGAAAUCAUGAGUAGGAAGGUUCAGACAAAUGCACACUGGCACAAACGUUGACCAUUCCUUUUCUUGAUGUCUGCCUACCAAACCUAACCUGACCCAAUCUAAACUACCCAAAUCUUGAUGAGUAUAGGUAUUAAAAAUAAACUAUCUGUGAAGAGACUGGAUUAGAAAGAGCGACUCACCCCAACCACUAAUCAUUCCUUCCCUUGAUGUCUGCCUACCAAACCUAACCUGACCCAACCUAAACUACCCAAAUCUUGAUGAGUAUAGGUAUUAAAAAUAAACCAUCUGUGAAGAGACUGGAUUAGAAAGAGCGACUCAAAUGCGACUGACCCCAACCACUAAUCAUUCCUUCCCUUGAUGUCUGCCUACCAAACCUAACCUGGCCCAACCUAAACUACCCAACCCUUGAUCAGUAUAGAUAUUGAAAAAAAAAUAUAUGCAGAGACUGGAUUAGGAAAAGCAACUCAAAUGCGACUGACCCCAACCACUUAUCACUCCUUUCCUUGAUGCAUGCAAGAGUUCCCUUUCAUCAGCAAUUUUUAGUCUCGUACUUCAAGAGAUGCUUCACGAGUGACUCAAGAACGUUCAAGGGUGCGGCUGUGGUUAUAAUAGAUGAUAAAAAUAAUCUCUCGAAAAUACCGUCGCUCGUAUCGUUUUAAGCAGGAGAUGAAGGAUACGAAAGAGAUGAGAGGGAGAGAGAGGGGUCUAGCGAAUACACUAACAAGAGAGGAGAUAAUAGAAGCGAAGGGUAGGAGAGAAAACACGACCGAGUAGAUGAAUAGGAGAAAAGGAAAGAAGUUUUUAAAGAGGAUGAAUAAAGACUGAGUAAAAAAGAGAGGAAAAAAAGGGGAGAAAGAAGAUAGAUACAAGAGGAGAGAGAAGCGAGGUGCAGAAGGGUAAGGAGGCUGGGAACGUUUGGACAGAGAAGGGAGAAGAGAACCGGAGAUGUGACGUGACGUGAACAUGAGACAACAAUGACAGUGAUGGAAUACGGAAGGGGAGACUUAAUACCGAGGCGGAGGAAGAAGAGGAAAGAAGAGGAGGAGGAGGAGGAAGCAAGAAGAGAAGAUUAAGGAGAAAAAAUAAAAAAAAUAUAAAGAAAGGAGAUACGGAGGAAGAAAAGAAGUGGAGAGGGGAGGAGGGCAAAGUGGGAAAAUCGAGGUUAGUUUACAAGCACCACUCCUGGCCACGUGUCAUAAUCUAAUUAUAGCGAGUGACUUUUAAAAACUGACACUAGCACAUGGUAUUUAGCCUCUCAAAACAAGGCCCAUGCAUCCUGCCACGCCCCCUCACGCUGGUCUUCAAGCCUCAGGGCCAUAUUUUUAAACAUUUCUGCGUCCAAGAACACGUAAUUUACUAGUCUUUCGUGGGAGUUUAGGGCAUUUCCAGGGGUACUUUUAUGACCCUGGUGGUAGUCUGCGCCUUCUUCUGUACCGUGAACCUAAAAGAACACUCAUUAGAACUCGAUUAACCUUCUUUUUGGCCUUUUGAAAUAGUUGGUGUGAGGGGUGGGAGCAUUUGACAAUACCAACCGCAGUCCAUUAUCGAGGUUUCUUUGUUUUCUGUUAUGUCUUUGCGCGUUUCGGCAACUCGCUCCCGAACGCGACGGUGAACAUACAGAGUGACCGCGGGACCAGAAUAACGAUAUCUCAAAGCCACGGGUUAAACUAUCACGUAUUUCCAAGUUUACAAGAGAAAUAAUGAUAUGAACAACAACAAUAAUAAUAAUAAUAGCACAAAAGAACGUCAUCUCAAAGCCCCGGGUUAAACUAUAUGUAUUUCCUGGUUUACAAGAGAAAUAAUGCUAUGAACAAUAAUAAUAAUAAUAAUAAUAGUAGUAAUUGCAAUAUAUACAAGGUCUAGUUGCUACAUGGCUCCAGUAAGUCGACCACAAACAAACAAACAAUAAACUUAACCUAACAUUGCCUGUCCCCUAACGUGUGUGACCUUUGAGAAACAUAACCCCUUGCUUUCACCUGACCCAGCCUGACUCACCACUCACUCACCUGUCUAAUUUUUCCCUGACUUCACCGCAAGAUCACCCUGACAUGUAUAACCCUUCAGAAACCUGCCCCCUUGUUUUCACCCGACUCACCCAUCUUAUUUUUCCCUGAUUUCACCACGAUAUCACCCCGACCAGUGUGACCUUUAAGAAACUCGACCCCUUGUUCUCACCUGACCCACCCACUCACUCACCCAUCUUAUUUUCCCUGAUUCUAACGUAAUUCUUUCAAGAGGAGGAUAUCAGGACACCUCUCCUCCCGAAAUUGACCCAUCUUUCGGCCACUCCUCUUGACUCUUCUGUGGGAGCAGUGAGGGAGUAGCGGGCUUUAUUUGCAUUAGUGUUUCUUUUUUUUGCCCUUGAACUGUUUCCUUUACUGUGAAAAAAAAUUAUUGAUCUGCGCCCUGGAGAGUGUGCUUACCUUAUCCUACCAACGUUGUCAGAUUGUCGUACUCAGCUUCUCAUAUUUCCCGAUUUCCAACCCAAAACAUGUCUUCUGUGCCCCAAUAACUGGCUUUUUAUGUUGUUAUCGUUGAAAUGGUUAAUUAUUCUGGUUUCCUGGUGAUAUUUAAAGGGUGAGAAGCCGGGAUAUGUGAUGUUCCGAGUACGAUAAUCUGGCAACGGUGUAUCUUACCUAACUCCCUCUCCCUCACAAGUGUCCAUCAUCUCAACACUCCUUAGGGAUCUCAACGGCAUGUUUGCUCUAUAAAUGAAACCCAGUCUAGUGUUCCCAUUGAAUCCACUCUAGUCAACUGUUACGUUUCCUCGACUCUAACGCAACAGUGACCUACCCUCUUAAAAUGGCAUGUUCCUCCCUUCUCCCUUGUUGUUUACCUGCAACAAUAAACUAUCAAUCAAUCAUUAAAAGAUAUCGGAUUAUGUGAUGAUGAAAUACAACCACCUACUCUCGGUUACCUCACUCACUAAACCAAAGACUUCCUUAUAUUAUGAAAUCCAACUUCUUAUUCUAUUUACUGAACCUCCUCUGAGCCAGUCUCCUUUAUUGCGAUCCACUUUUAUAUUCUCACUGAACUGAAUCUCCUUUAUUCCGAUACUGUGAUCUGUUAUGAAAUCCACUUCUAUAUUCUCAAUGAACCCCUGAGCUGAUCUUUAUUUCAAUAUUGUGAUCUGUUAUGAAAUCCACUUCUAUAUUCUCAAUGAACCCCUGAGCUGAUCUUUAUUUCGAUAUUGUGAUCUGUUAUGAAAUCCACUUCUAUAUUCUCAAUGAACCCCAGAGCUGAUCUUAAUUUUCGAUAUUGUGAUCUGUUAUGAAAUCCACUUCUAUAUUCUCACUGAACCUCUGAGUCAGUCUCCUUUAUUCCGAUACUGUGAUCUGUUAUGAAAUCCACUUCUAUAUUCUCAAUGAACCCCAGAGCUGAUCUUUAUUUCGAUAUUGUGAUCUGUUAUGAAAUCCACUUCUAUAUUCUCACUGAACCUCUGAGUCAGUCUCCUUUAUUCCGAUACUGUGAUCUGUUGUGAAAUCCACUUCUAUAUUCUCAAUGAACCCCUGAGUUGAUCUUUAUUUCAAUAUUGUGAUCUGUUAUGAAAUCCACUUCUAUAUUCUCACUGAACCCCUGAGCUCAUCUCCUUUAUUCCGAUACUGUGAUCUGGUGUGAAAUCCAAUCCCUUAUUCUUACUGACGAAUCUCUUGAGUGAGUCUUCUUUAUUCCGAUAUUGUGAUCUGUUAUAAAAUCCAAUCCCUUAUUCUUACUAACUAAACCCUUGAGUCAGUGUCCCUUUCUCAAAUAUUAGGUUCUAUUAUGAAAUCCAAUCCCAUGUAUGCUGUUAACUCCCUGACCGCACCCCCGAAUCAGAUCCUCUCUUAUCCGGAAUGAUUAAGGAAGGAAAUCGGCUUCAGACUAUAAUGUAAACACAACCAUGACUCAAAAUUCUUUCGUGUUUCUUCAUAUCCCCUUCUUGUAUGCUACACCUCCAUGGUCACAUACUAGGACUCCAAGGUCGGUAUUAUAAGCUAUUUUCGCUUCUCACAUCAGCUAUUUCUAAAGAGGGGAUCAAUCGGGUUCUAAUGUGUUUUUUUCAGGUUCAGGGUAGAGAACUAGGGUCAAACUACCACCAGGGCCCUAAAAUUACUUCUGGAAAUGCUCAAAACUACUACGAAAGCCUUGUCAAAUAUGUGUUUCUUUAGGUUCAUGGUACAGAGGAAGGGUCAAACUACCACCAGGGCCAUAAAAUUACUUCUGGAAAUGCCCAAAACUACUACGAAAGCCUUGUCAAAUAUGUGUUUCUUUAGGUUCAUGGUACAGAGGAAGGGGCAAACUACCACCAGGGCCGUAAAAUUACUUCUGGAAAUGCCCAAAGCUCCUACGAAAGCCUUGUUAAAUAUGUGAACUUUCUCGACGAAAUGUUUAGUAAUACGGCCUUAAGAUAUCACUAUAAACUCUUAACGUACCCUUGGCACCGCAGGAAUACAAUGACAGGAAAAGACGGAAUGCUAAGCGAGGAGGAAGUCGUAGGUAUUCAUAUUGAUAAGUUCGUUUGUGUUGGUUAUUUCUCCGUGGAUAUGAAUUGAUACCUGAUCCUUCUGCUACUUUGUUUAUUUCAUCCAUAACUGCCCUUCUUUAUUUUUUAUCCUUUUUGUUUUGUGGUCUAUCUAUUAAUGAAUUUACGAGUCUAUCUAUCUCUAUUUAUCCAUCCAUCUAUUCAUCUGUCUGUCAAUGUGCCUAUCUGCGUGUGUGUGUGUGUGUGUGUGUGUGUGUGUGUGUGUGUGUGUGUGUGUGUGUGUGUGUGUGUGUGUGUGUGUG